UGGGGAAUUUUGGACAAUGGGCGAAAGCCUGAUCCAGCAAUGCCGCGUGUGUGAAGAAGGCCUUCGGGUUGUAAAGCACUUUUGUCCGGAAAGAAAUCCUUGGCUCUAAUACAGUCGGGGGAUGACGGUACCGGAAGAAUAAGCACCGGCUAACUACGUGCCAGCAGCCGCGGUAAUACGUAGGGUGCAAGCGUUAAUCGGAAUUACUGGGCGUAAAGCGUGCGCAGGCGGUUUGCUAAGACCGAUGUGAAAUCCCCGGGCUCAACCUGGGAACUGCAUUGGUGACUGGCAGGCUAGAGUAUGGCAGAGGGGGUAGAAUUCCACGUGUAGCAGUGAAAUGCGUAGAGAUGUGGAGAAUACCGAUGGCGAAGGCAGCCCCCUGGGCCAAUACUGACGCUCAUGCACGAAAGCGUGGGGAGCAAACAGGAUUAGAUACCCUGGUAGUCCACGCCCUAAA
rnacentral:rRNA from 1 species